CGGCAGACCAGAGGGAAUAUCAGCAGGAACUCAAAAAGAACUAUCACAAGCUAAAAGAGAACCUCAGGCCAAUGAUCGAGCGGAAAAUUCCAGAACUGUACAAGCCAAUAUUCAGAGUUGAGAGUCAAAAGAGGGACUCCUUCCACAGAUCUAGUUUCAGGAAAUGUGAAACCCAGUUGUCACAGGGCAGCUAAGAAAAGCCAUCUUCAUUCGUGGAGACUGUGGCCCUGCAACCCUGGAGAAGGACUUGCUGAACAUUGUGCUAUCUGUCAGCAUAUGUGUAUCAGCUACAAAAUAUAUUCAACUUUGACUUCUUUUGACAAUGGGCUUUAGGAAAAAGAGGAACAAAGACAUUAUUUGAGAAUUAAAUUAUCUAUUUUUAAUAUGACUGUGACCUUGACUGAUAAUAAAGAUGUAAUAAGAAUUGC
rnacentral:sRNA from 1 species